UACGGGGGGAGCAAGCGUUGUUCGGAUUUACUGGGCGUAAAGGGCGCGUAGGCGGUCGUGACAAGUCACUUGUGAAAUCUCCGGGCUUAACUCGGAACGGUCAAGUGAUACUGUCGUGCUAGAGUACAGAAGGGGCAACUGGAAUUCUCGGUGUAGCGGUGAAAUUCGUAGAUAUUGGGAAGAACACCGAUGGCGAAGGCAGCCAUCUGGACCGACACUGACGCUGAGGCGCGAAAGCGUGGGGAGCAAACAGG
rnacentral:rRNA from 1 species